ACACCGUGACCAGAAUUAGUUAUGCAAUUUUUCCAUGGGUCGGUGCCGAUCCCUUGCGCAUCGUAUAACCCUUACGAAUAAAGAUGGUGGUGUCAGGUCCUGUUUUUACAUGGAAAGAAGCAUGAUAAAUUUAACGCUAAAAGACCGCUGAAGUAUUACAAAAAUUAGAAAUGGAAUGGAAAAUUAUACAAAAAUGGAAUUGGACAGGACAAAUCAUGAGGAAGAACUUGGAAAGUAGACGUGGUAAGUUGUGGAUUCCUUUCCUAGAAACGGAGACGAAGAGGACGACGACAAAAAAGAGAUCGAAGGAUGUUUCACCGAAGAAACACGUGCAGGCUUCCAUGCCAUAUUUUUACAUGGCAAUAAGCAUGUUAAAUUUAACUCUAAAAGACCGCUGAAGUAUUACAAAAAUUAAAAAUGGAAUGGAAAAAAUAUACAAAAAUAGAAUUGGAAUGGACACGAGGACAAACGUGGAAAGUGGAUGAGGGAAAUUGUGGAUUGGUAUUCUAGAAACGGAAGACGAAGAGGACAAUAAAAGAGAUCCCAUCUCUUUUAUGGUGAUUCACCUAUUGAUGGGGAAGGUUAGUUCGAGAUAGAACGAGAUUUAACUAGGGUAGGCCUAUCUCGCUAAAAGUUAACGCUAAAAGACCGCUGAAGUAUUAAAAAAAUUGAAAUGAAAUUGAAAAUUAUACUAAAAUGGAAUUGGACAGGACAAAUCAUGAGGAAGAACCUGGAAAGUAGACGUGGUAAGUUGUCGACUCCUUUCCUAGAAACGGAGACGAAGAGGACGACGACAAAAAAGAGAUGGAAGGAUGUUUCACCGAAGAAACACGUGCAGGCUUCCAUGCCAUGUUUUUACAUAGCAAUAGGCAUGUUUAAUUUAACUCUAAAAGACCGCUGAAGUAUUACAAAAAUUAAAAAUGGAAUAGAAAAAAUAUACAAAAAUAGAAUUGGAAUGUACACGAGGACAAACGUGGAAAGUGGACAAGGGAAAUUGUGGAUUGGUAUUCUAGAAACGGAAGACGAAGAGGACAAUAAAAGAGAUCCCAUCUCUUUAUGGUGAUUCACCUAUUGAUGGAGAAGGGUUAAAAACUGCUGUGGUUACUUCGUGGUGCGAACAUCGGUGCAUGGAAAGAGGAACAACGAUCGCACGGUAACUAACGUGUAACAACACAUCAACCGUAUUUUAUAUUUACACUUAAAAUAUAAUAUAUUAAUAUGGAUAUUAUCUUUAAUGGGCGUCACACACAAAAUUUGGUUUUAAUUGCUGAAA